rnacentral:rRNA from 1 species
UACAGAGGUCUCAAGCGUUGUUCGGAUUCAUUGGGCGUAAAGGGUGCGUAGGCGGCGCGGUAAGUCGGGUGUGAAAUCUCGGAGCUUAACUCCGAAACUGUAUUCGAUACUGCCGUGCUUGAGGACUGGAGAGGAGACUGGAAUUUACGGUGUAGCGGUGAAAUGCGUAGAUAUCGUAAGGAAGACCAGUGGCGAAGGCGGGGUCUCUGGACAGUUCCUGACGCUGAGGCACGAAGGCCAGGGGAGCAAACGGG